UACAGAGGUCUCGAGCGUUGUUCGGAUUCAUUGGGCGUAAAGGGCGCGUAGGCGGCGGGGUAAGUCUGGUGUGAAAUCUCGGAGCUCAACUCCGAAAUUGCACUGGAUACUGCUCUGCUAGAGGGCUGGAGAGGAGAUCGGAAUUCACGGUGUAGCAGUGAAAUGCGCAGAUAUCAGGAGGAACACCGGUGGCGAAGGCGGGUCUCUGGGCCGAUACUGACGCUGAGGAGCGAAAGCGUGGGGAGCAAACAGG
rnacentral:rRNA from 1 species